AACUUUCAGCAACGGAUCUCUUGGCUCUCGCAUC
rnacentral:rRNA from 1 species